UCCGAAUUGGUGUAGUGGCUAACAUUUGACGCUCUCAAGACAUUGUGAUCCGUCAAGCCCGGGGUUCGAUUCCCCGAUUCGGAG
rnacentral:tRNA from 3 species